AGUGAACUUUGUUUGAAGUGAAAAUCCUUUUAUUAUUUUUUUUUAAAUAAUAAAAGAUUGCAACGGAUAGCUGGAAAAUGC
rnacentral:sRNA from 1 species